AAAAAUGAAAAGGGCAACGUAUCAUUACACGAGGCCUUGAUGAACGGUCACCAAGUUGUAGCUUAUUAUUUGAUCACGGUAGAUCCAGAAGUGUUAUAUUAUCUGAACAAUGAAGUGAAAUCAGCUCUGUUUCUAGCUGCUGAAGUAGGGUUUUAGGAACUUGUCACGCAUAUUCUAUGUGAUACAGUUGGGAUUGAAAAUACAAAUCAAAGACUUGAAGGGUAAUCACCUAUUCAUGCUGCCAUUUUAAAAAGAAACCGAGGUGUUUUUGAUGCCUUAUUGAAAUCAGAACCAAGGUUCAUUCGAUUAAGAGAUGAAGAAGGAAGGACUCCACUUCACUUGAUUGCAUGAUUGGGCUAUCUUGAAGAGGUUCAGUACUUGUUAGGAAGACAGAGUUCAGGUGCUAUUGCAAGGGACAACAAUGGCUUACUUCCUAUUCAUUUAGCAUCAAUUAAAGGCCAUGUUGAUGUUGUCCGGGCGUUGCUUCAGUAUUGGCCUGAUUCGAGGGAACUGCUCAACUGUCAUGGUCAAAAUAUUCUUCAUGUUGCAGCCAAGAGCAGAGGACAUAACAUGGUUAGUUACAUUCUCCAAACUCCUGAGGUCGAGAAGUUUUAUAAACAUGAGGGAUAAGCAUGGAAACACAACCUUGCAUUUGGCCACCUUGGAUUGGCAUCCAAAGAUUGUUAGUACCCUAACAUGGGAUGAAAGAGUGGACUUAUAGUGAAUAAUGAGGGUAUGUCUGCUCUUGAUUCUGCUGAAUACUACAUGGAAAGAAUGUCCUCAUUUCGAAAGCCAUUAGGUGGUCAUAGUUUAAAUUCGUGGGACAUUUUUGUCUUGCGACGGUUAACAUGGACUGCAUUGAAGGCCGCUGGUGCACCACUAGCUUACUGUAGAAAAGCCGUCAAUGCUAAAACGAAACAAGCAUCUAUGCAACUGGAGCAAGUGAACAUAGACAGCUAUAAGGACCGAUUCAACACUCUUCUAUUGGUGUCCACCCUCAUUGCCACUGUAACUUUUGUAGCUGGUUGCACAAUACCCGGUGGUUAUAACAACAUUGAACCUGACCAAGGCAUGCCAACUAUGCUAAAACACAAGUGGUUUCACAUAUUCAUUUUCUGUGACACCAUAGCUCCAUUAUUACUGCUGUUACCCUCAUAUGGGCACAAUUAAGGGACCUCAAUUUGGUGCUUACUGCCUACAGAUUGGCGGCACUACCACUACUGGGGAUCACUCUCACCAAAGCAAGGAGGAAAUGAUAUCAACAGAGAUAUUUCCUCGUUUAAUUUAUUUGAUUUGUUGGUUAAUUGAGUUCCUUUUGUUUGCUUUUGGUCUUAUAUGUUGGUAUCUAAGUAGCUUGCCAGCAAGUCUGUAAUUGUACGUAAUGUUUUGAUAUUUUAGUGUUUUACAGUUAA